AUGGCCUUAGGGGGAAAAGGAAAACUCCUUUGCUCAUUUCUGAUUUCAUUCCACAGAAAACCUUUUUCUUUCUAAGUGUCAAACCCUAACUCUACUCCACCUUCUCUCUUCUUUUUUAGAAAUUUGAACCGUACAAAAUUUCAUUUAGUUCCUUCAAAUUGUUCCUGGCAUCGAGGGCUUCCGUUCGAACCCACCAUCUCACUGUUUCAUCGAGUAAGUAAAUCUUUCCCCUUUCUUAUCACUGUUUUUGACCUAAGUCGCACCAUUUUCUGAUUGCAUGAGCUCUGUGUGAUCUUGUCUUCCAUUCUUCGUUAUUUCAACUCAAAAAGCUAAAGUUUAUCACCUAAUUGGUGAUUUGUAGGUCUCUCGGUGCCCUAAUUGCUAGGAAUACUUUAGAAGCGUUGAGUGAGCUUGUUGUUGCUUGUUUCCAGGUAAGGGGAGCCAAAAUUAUAUAAAUGUGUUAUCUCUUGAAUGUUUUUGAAAUUGUUGAGAAUAUCUAUUGAAUCUGAAUUUUUAUGAAUUACUUGAUGGGUUGAUGUCUCUGCGUGAUUGGAUUUCCUGUUAUGUGUUUGUGAAUAUAUGCAGGGACUAUAUUAUGCUAUUCUGAAAAUAUAAGGUUNUGGGUGAAUGUUUGAUGUGCUUUGAAUGUCAAGUUGAAUCUGUUGAAUGAGGUAUUAUGUGUAAUUGGAAUUAAUUUGGGUUAGGUUGAUAUCUGAUAUGGUUAAGUGGUUUUAUUUACUGGAAAUUAUAUGACAUUGAUAAUUGAUGGGAAACAUGGGUUGUUAGAACUUAGGUCUGUGAGUGAAAGUGAGACACUAGUUAAGGGUGUAUGGAAACUAGACCACCGUAGAAUAAUUAGGAUACCUUAUUAAAGCUAAAUUCAGAGUGUUAGGAUGCCUUCUGUGUUGGUAGGAUAGAGGGAACCUAAAAACCAGAGCUGGCACGUCACUGAUCAUAGAGCAGCCNUGGCCUGGUCCAGUACGUUGUGACUAGUCAUACGUGUUGGUGACGAAGGUGAGUCUGCUGCGGUGGACAUUUGUUCCCACUCCNUUGACCAAUUGGGAUAAGAAGGUUGGAGAGAGUAGAACCCCUAGNCAAGGAUCUGUAACUGAAAUUGGAUUGGAUUUGAGUUGGGAAGUGGGAAGUGUCAUGGUGAUUUUGGGCAUUUGUGGUAUUGGGGGUGUUUGGGCUGGUUAGGUAACUUAGGUAAGUUAAAAGGAACCUGUGUGAGGCAUAAAAUUGAGCAAGAACACAUUAAAAAUGACCAUUCUGACUUUAGUUCCCUAUUGGUAAUAAAUUAUAAAAGAUGGUAUUGAUUAACUUAGAUUAAAUUAGGGAGUAGUUAUUUUUAUAAUUUGUGAGUGGUAAAUAAUGUGUAUUGUUGAGAUUAUGUAUAUGUUUGGAAUUGUGAAUUUUGGUUUAAAAGUAUGUGAAUUGGGAAGGAAUAAAACAUGAUUUCUAGUGUGUUGAUGGUGGUAAAUAUAGAAUCUCUCGGUGAGAUNCUUAGUGUUUUAAAAUGAAAGUAGGGGCUCAGCCUUGGGAGUCAUUCUGACGCUUCAAUGGUCAAUCAAACUCACUUAGAGAGGUUGAACCAUGUGGUGAGAAGUAGCAGGAGGUCCUUAGUCUUGNGACGCUUCAAUGGUCAAUCAAACUCACUUAGAGAGGUUGAACCAUGUGGUGAGAAGUAGCAGGAGGUCCUUAGUCUUGGGGGCUCCCAGUAUGCCUCAAGGCGCGGAACGGACUAACCUCGUGAGUGUGGCAGGGUGGGGAACCCAAGUUUCAUAAGUCACCAGCCAUAGCCCGACUCUCAUUUUAAAGUCCGGACGAGUCAAGUCUAGAAUCUCACAUGUUUAGGUUGUUUGCUAUAAAAUGUGUUUGCUAUCCAUGCACUCUCUUGUGAUCAAAUGUUUAAUAUGUUGCAUGAUGUUUAUUUAUAUAAUUAGCUCACCCUUGCCUUGUUUUGUUGUGUAUGCUGUAUUUCUUUCUUUUGCAAUGAUCAUUCAUUUUUGAAUGUGAGCAGAGGAGAAUGAGCCCACGUUGGAGGAUGUCCUGGAAGAUUCUGAAAACACAGAUGUUGCUGCCUAGACCUUUAGGGAUUUUAUUUUGCUCUUCCUAUGUUCUGUAUUUUUGAAAUACUUAGAGUUCCUUCCACGUUUUUAAAUUUCCUCUUGUUUCUGGAUUACUGUAAUCACAACCUGAUUAACUUUCCUGCUCUUAAACUGCUCUCUUUUAUUAUCUAUGUGAACAUCUUGAUUUUUAUAGUC
rnacentral:lncRNA from 1 species